GACGAACGCUGGCGGCGUGCCUAACACAUGCAAGUGGAGCGACGAACCAGGGCUUGCCCUGGGGCCAAGCCGCGAACGGGUGAGUAUCACGUGGGUAACCUACCCCGAUGACCGGGACAACCCGAGGAAGCUCGGGCUAAUACCGGAUGUGGUGUACACACAUAAGUGUGUCCACUAAAGGAAGCUUCGGCCUCCACAUUGGGAUGGGCCCGCGGCCCAUUAGCUUGUUGGUGGGGUAAUGGCCUACCAAGGCAACGAUGGGUAGCUGGUCUGCGAGGAUGAUCAGCCAGACUGGUACUGAGACACGGCCAGGACUCCUCCGGGAGGCAGCAGUUGGGAAGCUUGCGCAAUGCGCGAAAGCGUGACGCGGCAACGCCGCGUGAGGGAAGACGGCCUUCGGGUUGUAAACCUCUUUCAGGAGGGACGAAGGUCCGCCCGCGAAUAGCGAGGCGGAUUGACGGUACCUCCAGAAGAAGCCCCGGCUAACUACGUGCCAGCCGCCGCCGUAA
rnacentral:rRNA from 1 species